rnacentral:tRNA from 1 species
GGGGCUAUAGCUCAGCUGGGAGAGCGCCUGCUUUGCACACAGGAGGUCAGCGGUUCGAUCCCGCUUAGCUCCACCA